rnacentral:lncRNA from 1 species
CUCCUUUUGUAAAUGGCAACUUUGGCUACGAAAGUGUCGAUGACAUCCUCAGCUAGGUGGGCCACAUCUCUGAUUUGAUUCACCACUGUAUUAUCAAUUCCCUUCUUGCUUUUUGAGGUAUUGAGGAGGUCAUUGAUCAUCUGAAGCUCGUUCUGGAGGGACUGGAUCCUAUCCUCCACACCAUACAGCAAGUGAGCUUCGCGUGCCACAAGCUCAGAUAAAUGAUCCAAAACAAAGGUAACUACACUGUCUGCCAUUACAGCAAGGACGUGUAUGUAGUGUUUGAUCUGUGCUUGGAUGAUGUGUUUAUGGUUGGUGAUGGAAGAAGAGGAACCGGGUUUUAAAGAGACACAGGAGAAAGCAAUGGAUUGUAGCUUGCAACCAGACACUAAAGGAUAUCCAAAUAUAUAUUAUCAAUGUCUCUGCAAUAAAUAAUUUAAAAAGACUUUGGUUCAAGAAUUCUUGUUUUAUAUUUUUCUAUAGAUUUUGCGUGAACCAUGAAUAAUGAAAGUCUCUGCAAUAAAUAAUUUAAAAAGACUUGGGUUCAAGAAUUCUUGUUUUUAUAUUUUUCCAUUGAUUUUUCGUCAACAAUGAAUAGUGUUUAACUGAUUUAAGUACACAUUGCACCUUCCUGGUAUGUGCACUGCACCUUCUACUCUAUGUGUAAAUCAUUGAUUUGUUUUUCCACAUUUUGUGACUACUUAAUUCAUCUACCCACAAUUUUUCAACUUUAUCGUCCAAACCAAUCAAAAUUGCAGAGACACAAUAAAAAAAAAAAAUCAAAAAAAAAAAUACAAAAAAAAAAAUACAAAAAAAUAAAUAAAAAAAUAAAUAAAUAAAUAUAUAUAUAUAUAUAUAUAUAUAUAUAUAUAUAUAUANNNNNNNNNNNNNNNNNNNNNNNNNNNNNNNNNNNNNNNNNNNNNNNNNNNNNNNNNNNNNNNNNNNNNNNNNNNNNNNNNNNNNNNNNNNNNNNNNNNNACUUUAAAUAUGUAUUGCUUGGUGGUUGGAUGAAAUAGACUAAAUAUAUAUCCUAGCAAUUUCUCGUCACUCGUGAUCUUAUAUUCACAAAUAACACAUAAAAACUUAUCAAUAUAUUAAAUAUGUUAAAAAAAUUAUUUUGGUUAGUUAAUAAGGUCAACUGAAGUUUAAAAAUAAUAAUUUGUCCAUAAAAGGUACGUAUAUAGUAUUCGAUUAAAAUAAAUUCUUAUAAUAUUCAAUCAAGAUUAUAUGAAUUAUUUUUAAGAAUGAAAUAAAAUCACAUGUUUGUUCGAUAAAUAAAAAUAAUGUUUUUUAAAAAAAAUUUAGUUUGUAUACACAUUAUUAAAUCAACACUUUGUUUCUCCUGAUAUUUUUUAAUUUUUAAACAUUUUUUUUUUAAAUAUGUAACACCCAAAUUUUUUUAGAAAUAAAAGUCUUUGAAGAGAGAGUUUGUGUAGCAAAUAGUUAUUUAUACAAGGUUAAAAUUAUCCAAAAGUUUUAUUUACAAAGCAAACCUAAAGUGAGGUAUUGACCCUACACAUGUUAAGAUGCAUCUCCAAACACAUGAAAACAUUACUUAUAAAUCUCAUCAAGCAAGCUCAAGCUCUGACUCACAAGUCACUUAUGGAAUGUUUUCUUAUUAGCUAAAAAUCUCAUAUAUGAAGGCUAAAAGGCAUAAAAAGAAAAAGAAGCACAAAGAAGAGAAGGUGAGGACACUUAUCCAAUGGAGAUAUCAUCCAUGACUUCCUCCUCCACUUCGUCUUCAUCUUUCUCUUUAUAUGUUAAAUCCCCUUUUGUUCAGAAUAUAUGUAGUCAUCAAACUCUCUUAUAUAUUUUGAUUAUGUUUUUAUAUUGUGUUAUAUUACUAUUCGACAUUAUUUUUAACUUUUAUGUUUAUUGUGAAUCAACCAUAAAUUGGUUGAAGUAAAAGGUUGGAAAACUCUCAUAAACUUUUGACCUAAGAUACAAUCAAUAAAUCGUUUAUCUGAAAAUAGAGAAUAACAUAUUGAUAAUCUUUUAAAUCCUUUAUGCAAGUUUAUUUUAUUGAGUUGAAAGAGAAAUGUAAUUCAAUAGAGUAUACUUAAGGUUUGUUCUAUGAGAUUAGAGAAUAACUUUUCAUUUUAAGGAUUGAUGAUAACAAAGAAGAGGCAAAUCUUUAUUUUUGAGCUUAAUGAAACAAGAGAGUGAGGUGAUGAAGUCUAAUUCCAACAAUAUUCAUACCAUAUAUUUAUAUCAAACUAGCUUUCUCAUUUCAAAAAUACAAAAAAUAUUGUAGUGUUUACUUUUAACAUCUCUUUUAAGUUUUUGUUAUUUGAUCUCACUUCAUGUUUUAUUAUUUAUUUUAUGCCUAAUAGUAUAAAAUUAGUGUAGUUCUUAUCAUUACACGAAGUCUCAAUUGAUUCGACACUCUAACUAUCGAUAAGAAUGGUAAAUUACCAAAAAGUCAACAACACAUACUAAGCAUUUCAUAUAAGAAACUAGCAUAAUUCUCGUAUAAGCAUCUUACAUUUUGACUCAAUGACAACGAGUUAUGUUUAAAGCAUCCAGAGUAUGAGACUCUCAUUCAAUAUCUUAUCACUUGAUGUGUCUUAGUCUAUUCACUUGAUGUGUCUUAGUGUAUGUGACUUAGAUACUAAGUGAAGUCAUUAAUCUUUUUAUAAAUUCAAGUAGUUAAUACAUCAUCUCAAACUAUAAAACCAAGAAUAUUCCAAAUUCAAGUAUUUAUUAUUAUAUUUUUUAUGUUGUACAUUCUAUUAUUCAUAUGAUGCCAUAUUGUAAAAUAAUUUUUAUAUAUUGUAUUGAUUUGUUUACCUAUCCAGCUUUGUUUUAAAAAUUAUUAAAACACUUAUAGCUAUUACUAAAAAAAACAAAAAUUCAAUGAGAUUUUCAUUAAGAUAGUCUUUUUUUUUCUUACAACUUUAAUUGAUUACAUAUUUAUUUAUUUUUAGUGGUUUCUUUCAAAUAGUGUAUUGUAUUUUUAGUGGUAGGCAAAAUGUCCACUUAGUUAAAACAAGUCUUCACUCAAACUUUGAUACAUUUGAAACAUUGCAAUGGUAGGCAAAAUGUCGAUUUAGCUAAAACAAGUCUUCACUUAGAUUUGAGGGUUGUGCAGUGGUAGACAGAAUGCCGACCUGGUUAAAACAAGUCAUCAAUUAGAUUUACGGAACAGUGUAGUGAUAGAUAGAAUGGUGACCUGGUUAUAACAUAUCUUCACUUAGACUUGGAAAGUUGUGGAGUGUUAUGGUUCAAGUCCGAUCUCUUUAACUCAAAUUUUAGUAAUAUUUUUAAUAGGUAGUUGAUUGACUUGUAAGAGUAAGAUACGAAAUUAAACCCAUUUAAUAGAUGAAUCUCGAUAUUAUAGAAGAAUUUAAACCACUUUAAUAUGAAUCAUUAUAUAUAUUGUUAUAUUAAAAAUAUGUAAUUAGUAAUAAAUAAAAUGAAUAGAGACUUAAAAUCAUAAUGAAGGGUGAGAAUAAACAAAUAUGAUAUUAAAGGAUUAAAAGGGAUGGUGACAAAGGAAAGAAGAUAUAUUGAAGGUUCUGCUUAGGAUCUCCUUUCUUCUUGCCUAGAACACAUCUCAAUAAAUAUAAUUACCACUUUCAUUAAAUCAAAUACUUUUCUUGGACAUAGAUUUAAUUAUUCCAUCACAACCUUGAUUAUAUUUUUUUUUCUUUAUGUAAUUUUGUUGAAAAGGUAUAUUGUAUGUUAUAAAAUGCAAUUCUCAAACUCAUUGAAUUAAUACAUUUAUCACUUUUACAUCUUUUCGAUAAUUAUUUUUUAUCCUAAUCCAAUUUUUGUUAUUUGGUAUUCUAAUUUGAUAUUCACAAAUGUUUUUUUAUAUUUUAAAUUUAUAAACGAAGAUGUGUAUCUUUCAUAAAAAAAAUAAUUAAUAUUUAAAACCCUAAAAAAUUAAUUUAUACUUCUUACAUAUGAGAAUGGAAGAUGAAGAAUUUUCAAUUUAGAAAUAAAAAUGAGGAUAGUAAAACUCGCAACUAUCUCACCUUAUUUCUAGUAUGCUAAGGAAUUAAUUUACUAUUUUUUUAUUUAAAUUAUUUUUUAAAAUCUUUUAAUUCUUUAAAAAUAAUUUUAUCUAAAAAUAUUAAAAGAUUGAGAUAUUAUUAGUAAUGUAAUAUGAUUUUACAAUUUCUACACCACAUACAAAAUACAUCCAUAAAAUAAAUAACAAACUAUUCACUAUAAUAAAUUUCUUCGGUUUCACUAGUAUAAUUCAUAUUCAGAAUAGCUAAAUCUAUGGAAUCCAACGAAUCCAUCCACUCCAUCUGAGGUUGACGAUCCUCUGUGACGAUUUGAAUCCCAUCGUUUAUUUCCAAAUUUCGCAGCAUGUUAGCCAUUUUUUCUGAGGGUUUCAUUACCUGCACUUUUCUCAAACCACUCAAAGACCAGAGUUCAUGUGGGAGAUCAUCUAACCUUUCACAAUCGUUGAUGAUCACACGUUGAAGCCUCGACAUUGCACCAUUGUCUAAUUUCCACUUUUCAAGCUUCAAAAAUUCCAUUUCAAACACUUCCAGUUGUGGGAAGCUGCCUCCCACACAAUUCAGGUCAAAAGAAUCUCUAUCAUAAAAUACAUUUCCUGAAAGUCUCAAAAUUUUGAGUUUGGUGUGAUUUUCCAAACCAUUCAUCCCCUCAUCAGUAAUGCAGUCAAUCUCUGACAAUGUUAACUCUGUAAUGUUUGGAGGAAAUGCAAUCUCGUGGGUUAGAAGGUCCAAAGCAUUCACAAUGCUUAAGACACUUAGACAAUUCAAUUGCCCCAGGUUUUGUAACAGUUCUUGCUUCUUGAAACCAUUGUUCCUUUCCACACUCUCAUCGACCGACUUCUCUACACUUCUAUCAAUCUUAUCUCGGAGGAAAAUCUCUAACUUAUUCAAAUGACUUAAUUGUUGUAGGCUCUGCAAUAAUUUGGGUAAUUCACCUUCACAUCCAAAAGCUAGUCUCAAUCCUAUCCUCUUAAGAUUGGGGAAUGUUCCUUUCCUUAUGAGAGAUAUUCCUUGCCUGUUAAGUAUAAGGGAAGAGAUGGUUUGAAGAUUCCACAUCUUCUCAUCUGUUCCUGAAUCUCUACCUCACAGCUCGAUAGGUCAUUGUGUAUUCAAAUGCCUUAAAUGUUUCAGUUUCCAAAUUUGGACAGGGAAAGAAAUUGGAAAGUCACGCCUCGAAGGACCUAGGUCUAUGGUUUGUAGAUUCCAAAGGUUAAGUAUUGAAGUUGGAACAAACAUAAGAUACUCUAUUUCUAUUCUCAAGUACCUUAAGUUGAUAAAGUUCCCCAAAUUGGAAGGGAUCUUAUCGCAACCGCUUAGUCCAAACUCCAACACGCGAACCAAUUUGAAGCCUUUUGAAAGCCAUUUCCAGUCUGUCUCGCGAACAUAGUAAAUUGGGCCCAAGAAGAAUAGGGAAGAGAUACACGAAUGGUCAUUGUUGCUUGAAGAAAUGUAGUGAUCCAUCUUACUAUGAAUGGAGAGUCUACGAGCUUUUGUCGGGAUUAGAAUCUUAUUAUCUGUGGAAACUUCAAAAACUUUGUCCUUUUUGCUCUCUGAUAUGCAGAGAUCUCGAAGAAGAUCAUGAACCUGACACAUCUUCAAACCUCCAUUAGUCUCCAAUUUUGCUACUUGGACCAAACUACGAUCGAUGAGCUCAUACAAGUAGUCUUCCGCAACAUCAUCUGGGUCUCUAUUCCCUGUAUCUUGUAUAAAACCCUCAGCAACCCAUUUUUGCAAUAAUGGCAUAACAGGGAUUUCAAUGUCUUCCGGAAAUAUCCCAAGAUAAAGAAAGCAUGGUUUUAAUCUCCUUGGCAAGUUGUCGUAGCUGAGUUUGAGAACAAUGUCCUUCACUUGGGUCUCAUCUUGAGUAAGAUACCAAUUAACAUGACCCACCACUUUUGACCAUUCCCUGUAUGACUUUUCCUUGUAGGUUAGCAGCCCUGCUAAGACAAUGAUGGAGAGCGGCAAACCACGACAACUUUGAACCAUUUGCUUUCCAAGAGCUUCCAAAUCAGAAGGGUAGUCUUCACCCCUAAACACUUUCCUACAAAACAACUCCCAACUUUCUUCUUCACUCAGGAACUGAAGAUAAUAAGGAAGAUCAUGGGAAGUAUGCAGUGCUACCUCUUUCAAACGACUAGUUAUCAAUAUUCUGCUGCCUCUAUUGUUGUCCGGAAAAGCAUCUUGCACCUCAUCCCAAUCUUGCCUUUUCCACAGGUCAUCUACCACCACAAGAUACCUUCUACUCUCCAACUUGUUCCGCACUAGUUUCUUCAGCUCCUCCUCACUCAAGUUACUACUAGCUCGAGUGCUUUUUUUACCUUUCUUCUUGUCUUUGCAUUGUUGUUCAAAAUUUGGCAUCAAAUGCUUAAGAAGGCCAAGCAAAAGCUCCCUAACUCUGCACUCAUUUGACACAUAAACCCACGCGCGACACGUGAAGUGUUGCUCCACCUGACUGUUGUUAUAGACCUUUCGGGCAAGGGUGGUCUUCCCCAAUCCCCCCAUGCCAAUGAUAGAGACAACGUUACGUUUUGAACCACCUCCCAAGAGUCGUUUGAUGACAACCUUGGAGUCAUGUACAAAGCCAACCACACCUUCUUCCUCCACAUUUCUUCUUAGCUCGUGCAGUGAUUGCACCCUUUCCUUCUCCUUCUCCUCUUCUUCUGCAGAUUGAUUAUUGCUUUCUUUGAAAGCAUCAUAUUUGUCCUUGUUGUCGCGUAUUUCGUUGAGAGUGGUUUUGAUCUUGUCUAUUUUGUCGGCUACGUGGUGAAGCAACCUUGCUUGGCCAAAGCCACGGAGCAUCCUCCCCAGUAUGGUUCUCCUCUUGUAAAUGGCAACUUUGGCUACGAAAGUGUCGAUGACAUCCUCAGCUAGGUGGGCCACAUCUCUGAUUUGGUUCACCACUGUAUUUUCAAUUCCCUUCUUGCUCUUUGAGGUAUUGAGGAGGUCGUUGAUCAUUUGAAGCUCGUUCUGGAGGGACUGGAUCCUGUCCUCCACGCCAUACAGCAAGUUAGCUUCGCGUGCCACAAGCUCAGAUAAAUGAUCCAAAACAAAG